UCCGUAGGUGAACCUGCGGAGGGAUCAUUACCGAGUUAUUCAACUCAUCAACCCUGUGAACAUACCUAAACGUUGCUUCGGCGGGAAUAGACGGCCCCGUGAAACGGGCCSCCCCCGCCAGAGGACCCUUAACUCUGUUUCUAUAAUGUUUCUUCUGAGUAAAACAAGCAAAUAAAUUAAAACUUUCAACAACGGAUCUCUUGGCUCUGGCAUCGAUGAAGAACGCAGCGAAAUGCGAUAAGUAAUGUGAAUUGCAGAAUUCAGUGAAUCAUCGAAUCUUUGAACGCACAUUGCGCCCGCCAGUAUUCUGGCGGGCAUGCCUGUUCGAGCGUCAUUACAACCCUCAGGCCCCCGGGCCUGGCGUUGGGGAUCGGCGGAGCCCCCCGUGGGCACACGCCGUCCCCCAAAUACAGUGGCGGUCCCGCCGCAGCUUCCAUCGCGUAGUAGCUAACACCUCGCGACUGGAGAGCGGCGCGGCCACGCCGUAAAACACCCAACUUUUCUGAAGUUGACCUCGAAUCAGGUAGGAAUACCCGCUGAACUUAAGCAUAUCAAUAAGCGGAGGA
rnacentral:rRNA from 1 species